CCAGCAGUUGGUUAUACUAUUAUCCAUGCUCUCAUCUCCAUCUCAUUUAAGAUUCCGAGGCACAUUAAUUCGGUGCAUGCAGGAAUUAAAAGGGGCACAACAAUUCAUGUAAUGUUCUCAUCUACUCCCUUUUCCACAACUACAAUUAUUUAGGUACACAGGAAGUAAUGACUAAGCAUAUGCACUGCAAGUAAUCCAAACAAAUGCAUUAGUGUAAUUUGGAUAGUAUUGUAAAGUAUGUGAUACCUUUAUUCAUUCAUCAUAUGGAUUGGUUAAUGAGAUUUUAAAUUUGAGCCAUGUAAACUGAAAAAGAUACUUUAACAACCUCCAGUUUUCUGCGUUAGGCAAAAGUAGAAGAGAUGUAUUUCAUAUGACACGGAUAUGUGUUAACGUGUAAGGCUACUCAAAUGACCAAGUGAAUGCUUAGAUUUGACUUUAUACAUUAUAAUAUUUCUACAGAAAAGUGCAAAAAUAUUAACGUCCAGACAUUGGUGUUCAUGUAUAUAGCAAAUUAACAAUACAAGCGAAUGUGGGUGUUCAAUGCAGGUUGGAACACUGUGAUGUUCAAUGCAAAUUCUCCAUUUGCAUUUGGAUUGUUGUGGUGUUCAAUGCAGGUUCUUCAUUCACAUUUGGAACACAGUGCUGUUCAAUGCAGGUUUUCCAUUCGCAUUUGGAACGCUGUCAAGUCCUGAAUCAGGGCGGCGCAGAUUGACACCCAUGCUUUGCAGACAUUUCCUUCAGUCCACACUUGGUGGGUGGCAACGACGCUCAUGGGCGGUCAUAGAAGACACGCAAUGGCAGCACUCCUAAUGUUGGUUGCUAGGGAGAUAGGGAAGGAACAAAACACAAGGGUCUUCAGCAACAAAUCCACAAUGCCUUUUGUUAACAUUGGUCGAAUUAAGAAUGAGGCAAACGAUUGGAUCACAGCAGGGGUGAAGCAUUUAGUUCGAUCAUGCCACGGGAGUAGUUUUUUUUCAUCUCUCAACACGUGAUGGUCCUCGGUUAAGAACUCAGUUAACCCUUUUAUUUAUUAAGGAGAUGCGACAAACAUGUGCCCCCUUUUGAAAAAACAAUGUGGGUGUUCAUGACCGUGCACAUCCCCGUUGGCCUCUCCACCCGCAACAUGUUGUGAAUGAACAUCUUUGGGUGCGCAUUGGCAUCCUGGUGCAUCGGCCAUCGAAGCCAUUUGAUCAUCACCACACUAGUGGUUCGUUCCGUCACAGAAAUUCGCUACGUCUUAAAAUAUGAUAAGUCGCUCAAUUUUUCCUUCCCUUGUGGCAUCUCGGGCCACACGACUAGAUAUUUUUUGAAGCGUUCCCAAAGAAAUACGAAAAGCAGCCUUCUCCAUCAACAUUUUGGCAUUUUCAUCAUAUGAAAUGGAUAAGAGAUCUAGAGCAUCGAGUGUGGUACUGGACCUGGUGCGCUCCUCGCUUAACUUCGAGCGGAUGGUUUCUCCAUCAGAUAUCGGCAUUGUUAAGAAGAACGACAACAAGUAGUCGGUCGUCAUAUUUUUUUU
rnacentral:lncRNA from 1 species